AGUACAAACACAAUGUAUCUCUGAUGGAAUUAUACAUGUACAUGUAUGUUAGUGCUGCAGCUAGCACAUUAUACUGAAUUACAAAACUAUUAAAAUGAUAUCGAUGCGAGCGUACGGGAUGGAGGAUUUUUAAACCAACCAAAAGGAAGUUUGGCGAGCAGCUUAUUUGUAGAACACUUUGUCCACUGAGAUGAAGACAUGGAGUACAAAUCGAAAUAUCUCAGUCACCACGGGAAUUAUUUUGUUUGGAAAUUACAUAACAUUGGAAUAUCAUCUGAGAAGUAUUGAUUGGUUACGUUUUCAAGCUUUUCUUGCGACUACCCCUGUUUUUGAACUGACCUGAAGGAGCUGUGAAUCAAGUAAUAUCCUUUUUUGAACCUGAUACCGGGGUAUGUAUCUGUACUACAUUAUUUUUUAAAUCUAAUUCUUAAAACGGAAACUUUUGUAAUGGAAAAGUGUGUGAAAAAAUGCCCUAGCCCGUUAAGUUGUUUACUAAUUGAGCCUUAAACACGUAAGGGCCCUGCACAAUAAAGAAUAGAUCAACUUUGGAGAUGA